ACUCAUCAGCCGUCUCUUGCACAAUUGAGUUCCAACUCACGGCCUGUCCCCGCCCCAGCCCUCCUCCUUCGGAAUUGCCGCGAUCGUCACCUAAGUCGUCGCCCUGCUGCGCUGUACGAAAAGGCGAAAACAAUAUAAUCUUACCCACGCCUCUCGGCCCGUCUCCUCUAAUCGGCAGUGAGGAUUCACCGUCUCCCCCUGCUUUCUAUAUUUUACUCAUGAUUUUUGAAUUUUGCCAAUUGGAAUUGUGGAAUUGUGAAGAUGAAGGAUGAAGUGAAAUCUUGCAAGUUGUAGAGCAGCUCUAUCAGAGAUAUCCAUCCGUAAAUUUUAUCAAGCCCUAUUUCGUGCCUGUUUGCUGCGAGCCACCGUGUUAUUGCCACCAGCCUACAUCAUCGUGUACAACCAUGCUUGUUUACUGGCCAUUGAUUUGUAUCCUUUAAAGUAAGAACUAUGCAUGGUGAACGAGCAACCGUGGACGAGCAACCAAAGACUCGAGUGGUUGUGCAUUGGCUUGGGUAGCUACUUGGUUCCAUGUUAAGAGGUCUAUGAGGGGAGUGGUCUGAUUGAAAGGAAAAAUAUUUGCAUUUAUGAAGUUUUGGUGUUGUGGUUUCAUUAGUUACUUUUCUUAGCUCUACUGCAAAUCUAGUAAAAUACUAUUUAUCAACGUCUGUCACUGGAUAAUUAUUUUGUUUGACUUUCUGUUGAAAGAAGUCUACAUUUCAUUC